GCCUUUGGGUUGUAAACCUCUUUUGUCAGGGAAGAAAAUUUGACGGUACCUGAAGAAAAAGCAUCGGCUAACUCCGUGCCAGCAGCCGCGGUAAUACGGAGGAUGCAAGCGUUAUCCGGAAUAAUUGGGCGUAAAGGGUCCGCAGGUGGCCAUUCAAGUCUGCUGUCAAAGCCAGUGGCUCAACCACUGAAAGGCAGUGGAAAUUGGGUGGCUAGAGUACGGUAGGGGUAGAGGGAAUUCCCAGUGUAGCGGUGAAAUGCGUAGAUAUUGGGAAGAACACCGGUGGCGAAAGCGCUCUACUGGGCCGAAACUGACACUGAGGGACGAAGGCUAUGGUAGCGAAAGGGAUUAGAUACCCCUGUAGUCCUAGCCGUAAACGAUGGAUACUAGGUGUAGCUUGUAUCGACCCGAGCUGUGCCGAAGCUAACGCGUUAAGUAUCCCGCCUGGGGAGUACGCACGCAAGUGUGAAACUCAAAGGAAUUGACGGGGGCCCGCACAAGCGGUGGAGUAUGUGGUUUAAUUCGAUGCAACGCGAAGAACCUUACCAGGGCUUGACAUGUGGCGAAUCUGGGUGAAAGCCUGGAGUGCCUUAGGGAGCGCCAACACAGGUAGUGCAUGGCUGUCGUCAGCUCGUGUCGUGAGAUGUUGGGUUAAGUCCCGCAACGAGCGCAACCCUCGUUUUUAGUUGCCAUUUUAAUGGCUCUCUAGAGAGACUGUCGGGGACAACUCGGAGGAAGGUGGGGAUGACGUCAAGUCAGCAUGCCCCUUACGCCCUGGGCUACACACGUACUACAAUGGUUGGGACAAAGGGCAGCAAACCCGCGAGGGCAAGCGAAUCUCAUCAAACCCAGCCUCAGUUCAGAUUGCAGGCUGCAACUCGCCUGCAU
rnacentral:rRNA from 1 species